GUCCUGCGGUGUUAGAGCACGUUGAAUUGCAAAUUCAAAAGUGUAAAUUAGUAUUUACCCGGGCUUU
rnacentral:tRNA from 1 species